UGUGUUUCACUUUCCUCACAU
rnacentral:piRNA from 1 species